rnacentral:rRNA from 1 species
GAUGAACGCUGGCGGCGUGCCUAAUACAUGCAAGUCGAGCGAAGCGGGGACGGGUGAGUAACACGUGGAUAACCUCCUAUAAGACUGGGAUAACUUCGGGAAACCGGAGCUAAACCGGAUACUUAUACAUGGAUCCGCGCUGCAUUGGCUAGUUGGUAAGGGAACGGCUUACAAAGGCAACUAUGCAUAGCCGACCUGAUAGGUGUACCAGCCACACUGGAACUGAGACACGGUCCAGACUCCUACGGGAGGCAGCAGUGGGGAAUCUUCCGCAAUGGGCGAAAGCCUGACGGGGCAACGCCGCGUGAGUGAUGAAGGUCUUCGGGUCGUAAAACUCUGUUAUUGGGGAAGCGGUACCUGAACAGAAAGCCCCGGCUAACUACGUGCCAGCAGCCGCGGUAAUAC